AUUGUGGUGGCUCAGUGGUUAAGGCUUUGAGCUCAAACUCCGAUGGUUGUAUGUUCAACUCCCAGCAGCACCA